GUGCUGAUACCAAAUCAACACCUGGCUGGUGCCGUUUGUGGCGUUUUCUGUCCUGCUCUGGGAGCUGAUGGAAGGAACAGGCUCUGCUAGAGGGACUGGUUCCCUUGGCCUUCACCCAGGGCUCAGAUAUCUGAAUCAUAAAGGGCUGUGGUAUGUAGCUCAGCAGAAAUUAGAGCCGAGGGAGCCGGUCUGGUUUGGCCAAGUCUUUUCACUGAGGCUGCACAGACCUUUGAGGUGUGAUGGAGCCUCAGGUGCAACGUUGGUUUAAGCAUGACCARCCCAAACCUCUGACAGAAAGGGGAUGAAGGAAAAAAUCCUGGAACAAAACCCCACCACCUGGAGGGACGUGGCAUCCUGAAUCAGAGCCCAGGACUGCCUCAAAGACAGAGCUUGGCUGCGCUGGAGAACGAUCCAGAGACGAUCUUGGCCUGUUUUCACAAGACUAUUCCUCAUCCAAAUGUGCUGACCUUCUGCUUCUCAGUGUAUCAUGAGCAGGGUUAGGCUGACUUUGCUCCUCAGUGCCACCAGUGCCUUUCAAAUGCCAGUUCCUGCUUGUGUCAGAGGACCCGAGGAGUAUCUGGUGUGUCAUCCCCACACCACUGCCUUUCCCAUCCCUGCAAGGAAAGCACCCAAAUUUCAGCUGCCACCUCCUCCCCAAGGGGCACUACAUCAUUCAGUGGUUUGGUCAUUAGGGUCUCGGGGCAGAGGAGAUGUUACAGGUAAAUGGGAAAGGCUUUGUGCUCACCCGUCCUCAUUGCUGCAAUGCUUUCCUGACUUUUUAUGUCUUUAUCCCAAAAGCUGAUGAUAAACAGUUCCUGUUUGUGAGCAAAGACAACGAUGAGAGCUGUAAUGGUGGACUGAGGGAGGAGACAAGAGGCAGCCCCAUCCCUGGCACCACGAAGGAGUGGCAGCUGUAGGAUUAGCUCUUUCUUGCACAACUUGAGGGAAAUUUUCCACAAACCACUGGCACCACUCCCCAGUAUGAGUUCAGCCUCUACACUUGUACAUUAUUUAUUUCUUUCCCCCCAGAGGUGCUUUGCUUUGAAGUGUUUCAGUGCCUGUGAAACACCUGUGCACUUGAGCAUGUCCCUGGUGCUGUUUGCAGGGUCUGCCUGCCCUGCCUGGGUAACCCCAGAGGAUCCAGARUGGGGCACUUCAGAGCAGAGGGGCAGCCACAGUGGGAGAGGAGAACACAGAAAGCACCCAAGACAACUCUGGGUUGAUGGCAUGGCUGGAGAUUGUGCUCUCUCUCUGAGCUGGGCUCCUCCAGCAAACCUCGAGGAAAAAGCAGAAGGAGAAUGCUGGGCACGCUGUUGGCCAGCACAAAGUGGGGUGUGAGUGAAAGAGAGGAUGGGAUCUCUGUGCUGAGAGCACACUGAAUUUCAGGACUUUCCAAAAUGCUUAUUCAUCACCCCAGAACAAUCAGGUGGAUGGUCUCCCCAGACAAACUUGAUUCAUCUUCCAGGCAAUGCUUAUGCAUCAUAAGGGAAGCAAGAAAGGACAAAUGGUUGACCUGAGAGCUUUGCUUCCUUGUCUAUUCUUCUAACAUGCUGGACCUGAAAAAUACACGUUGGGUAUCCUUGUUGAUGCUCAACGAGGAGCUGAUGUGGCCUGCAGUCAUUUACCCUGUUAGCACAGCAUUCAUUUAUGUGCACAGAUACAGAGAUUUGCAGCUUUGUGCUGUCCACACUGGCACUUUCCACCGAGGGGAUAUGGCACACAUAGCAAUUCUUCAGCUUUUUAUACCAGUUAUUUCAAAUUUCUAUUUCAGCUAACGUAGAGAGGCGGAGUCAAAGAAACUGAUCAACAGGCAGGAAAAAAAAAAUCUAUGAAGUCUUGCUUUGCAGUUCAUCUGAUAAAGGAAAUGUAUAGUGUGUAAAUCCUGUUUCUCAUUGGGCUGAUUCACRUUUGUGUCAUGAGCUCUGAUUCUUCUAUCCCUCGCACUGUUAUUUCCCCUCACAUCACACAAGGUGAUACCUCUGUCCUAAGCCAGCAUCAGGAUGGUCAGAACAAUGUUUUUUGUUUGCAGCAAGAGAGGAGAUGUGUACAYUACCUAUGCUAACAACUCUGAGCARCAGGAGAACACCUUUAUAAAUGUGUUUAUAAAGAUAAAACCAUCUCCUCAAUGAAUGAAUUCUUCCUUCAUUGCACUAUAGCCAAACCUAAGAAGCUGCUGAAGACAAUUGAAAGCAGACCUAAGCUGCCACAGUGACCUGCACAUGGAUGRUGCUGCACCUGCCAGGACCUGCAAUUAAAUUCUCAAAAGGUGAGCAGCUUCAAUGUGUCCACUGCUCAAGCCCCAGUGCACCUCAUCCACCAUCUGAUGUGUUUGGAUGGAUGUGUUCCCUCCCAACAUCUCAAUCAUGGGAAAAGGUCCUACAUCAGCUUUGGGUGAAGAGUCAGCUAAAGAUGGAAGGUCUUGGGGAAUAGGAAUGCGUCAGGGUGGGCCCCUAUAGAUGUUCCCCUUGGCUUAGCUCAGUGCCACAAUCUUCAAAUUCCAUGGUUUGGACUCAGGUUGGGCUCAGAGCUGGAUCAGCCUGUCCAGCAGUUCAGGAGCUCAUGAGAUGUCUCAUAUCAAACACUGACCCCAGAAAAAGGAGCCUCAGACAGAGGCCACGGUGUUUGGUUUUGCAUUGCGCUGCCAGACAAGAAUAUCCUGUCAUUAUGUGGAACCACUGAAAACUUUAAUAGCAUCCCUGCAACCUCCCUCCCCUCCCAAAGCAUUUUGCUGCUCUUAGCACGUUAGAGAGUAGCUACUCCCGCAGCAGAACUUGCAGGAUUGAGUGGUCUUGGCAGAGUAGCUGCAAAGGGCAUUGUGUUUAAUAAAAGGGCUGMACUUUACAGUUUAGGGUUUUCCCUAUGUCUUGAAGUGAGAUUUGGUCUUUGGAUGUUAAGUGCUGGGCUGAUGAGCACAGAAGAUCCAAACUGGCUCCCUGCGUCCCUCUGGCAGCAAGCAGGCAGGCACUUUUCUCCUGCCCUGGGACACUGGGGGCAGAUUCCCUGCAGGUUGCUGCUGUCCUUGCUAAGGAAGGCAUGAUUUGCAGCGGUGCUGGGUGCCCGCAGGUGGCUCAGCAUCGCUGGGAAUCAGGCGAGGGGGUCCCGGC